AGAACGGCUCGUGACCGCGCGUCACCGGUGAAAAGGGCCUUUCCCUUUCUUCUCGCGCUUCUUUCCCCUCCUCCACAGAGGUCUCUCGGUCUCCAUUUCCGAGUUUAUUCCCACCGUGCCUGAGUAAAACCACACUUUUCUCUUCUGUAGUCAGAGGUUGCAAGAUAAAAUCUUCUUUGCCCCUCGGCAUCGCGCCGGUUUCUUAUUGCCAGGGACAAGUUUGUGUGGCAGUGACACCCACCUGUGAGGGCCGCACUGAAACCUACGACACUACCAGAUACAGAUUAUGGGCACCUCGAGAAGGCCCCGAAACGCGGCUGACAUGCUGAAAUUUUCCCUUUAAAGAAAUGAGGCAGGAUUAGACCAGUGAAAUUUGGUGCCUCCAGAUUUGUUCAUCCAGAAGGUGCUGUUCUUGGGCCUCCCCGGUGGCACAGCGGUUGAGCGCUGGGCUGCCCGCAGCCUCUGCUGCGCCCAUUCGAUCCCUGACUGCUCCCUGGCCACCGGAGGAAGGUCCCACAUGGUGCGCAGACCUCUCCUGCCGCCUGCUGCUCCCCUCAGCAGUGUACUUCGGUCCUUCUGCCUGUUCUGCUCCCCUCUCUGGCUCAGGUGAAUUCUCCCACCCUCCUGCGCUUGACUGUACCCAGUGCUUGUAUAAAUAAUUAAUUAAUUAAUUAAUUAAAAAUUACUUAAAAAAAAUAUGUGCUGUUCUCAAAGAUGUAAGAUGGUAUCUCAUUGUGAAUUUAAUCUGCAUUUCUCUUGUUAGAAGCGAUGAUGUACAUUUUUCAUCUAUCUACUAGCCUUCUGCAUAUCUUCUAUAUAUUUUGUUGUUCCAGACCUUAUUUCUAAAUCUUUGGUCCACUUAGAAUUUAUUUUUAUGUAUGUGAUCAACUUCAUUAUUUUGUGUGUGGCCUCCCAGUUUUCCCAGCACAUUUUAUUACAUAGACUCUCCCAAUUGUAUGAUCCUGCCUACUUUAUCAUAGAUUAGUUACUGAAUACCUAUGUGGAUUUAUCUCUUGGCUUUAAACUCUGUCCCAUUGAUCCAUAUAUCUAUUUUUGUCUCAAUACCUUAUGGUUUUUAAUACUGUUGUUUUAUAAUAAAGGUUGAAGUCAGUUACAUGAUGCCUCUCUUUCUCUACUUUUUU